CCUACGGGGGGCAGCAGUGGGGAAUAUUGGACAAUGGGGGCAACCCUGAUCCAGCCAUGCCGCGUGUGUGAAGAAGGCCCUCGGGUUGUAAAGCACUUUCAGUGAGGAAGAACGCCUGGUGGUUAAUACCCAUCAGGAAAGACAUCACUCACAGAAGAAGCACCGGCUAACUCCGUGCCAGCAGCCGCGGUAAUACGGAGGGUGCGAGCGUUAAUCGGAAUUACUGGGCGUAAAGCGCGCGUAGGUGGCUUGAUAAGCCGGUUGUGAAAGCCCCGGGCUCAACCUGGGAACGGCAGCCGGAACUGUCAAGCUAGAGUGCAGGAGAGGAAGGUAGAAUUCCCGGUGUAGCGGUGAAAUGCGUAGAGAUCGGGAGGAAUACCAGUGGCGAAGGCGGCCUUCUGGACUGACACUGACACUGAGGUGCGAAAGCGUGGGUAGCAAACAGGAUUAGAUACCCUUGUAGUC
rnacentral:rRNA from 1 species